rnacentral:rRNA from 1 species
AGUGAACGCUGGCGGUAGGCCUAACACAUGCAAGUCGAACGGCAGCACAGUAAUAGCUUGCUCUUACGGGUGGCGAGUGGCGUACGGGUGAGGAAUACAUCGGCAUCUACUUUUUCGUGGGGGAUCACGUAGGUAAACUUACGCUCAUACCGCAUACGACCUACGGGUGAAAGCAGUGGAUCUUCGGACCUUGCGCGAUUGAAUGAGCCGAUGUCGGAUUAGCUAGUUGGCGGGGUAAAGGCCCACCAAGGCGACGAUCCGUAGCUGGUCUGAGAGGAGGAUCAGCCACACUGGAAGGGAGACACGGUCCAGACUCCUACGGGAGGCAGCAGUGGGGAAUAUUGGACAAUGGGCGGAAGCCUGAUCCAGCCAGACCGCGUGGGUGAAGAAGGCCUUCGGGUUGUAAAGCCCGUUUGUUGGGAAAGAAAAGCAGCAGGUUAAUACCCCGCUGUUCUGACGGUACCCAAAGAAUAAGCACCGGCUAACUUCGUG